AACGUAGGAGACAAACGUUAUCCGGAGUUACUGGGCGUAAAGGGCGUGUAGGCGGUUAGUUAAGUCUGGCGUGAAAGCUCUCGGCUAAACCGGGAGAGGUCGUCGGAUACUGGCAAACUAGAGGACGGUAGAGGCGUGUGGAAUUCCGGGUGUAGUGGUGAAAUGCUUAGAUAUCUGGAGGAACACCAGUGGCGAAGGCGGUGUUCUGGGCCUGUACUGACGCUGAUGCGCGAAAGCGUGGGGAGCGAACAGG
rnacentral:rRNA from 1 species